GGUGUCUGCAGCAGCAAGCGGCUCCGAUCGGUGAUCACGCCGCCGAUGUGGUAAGGCAGACCGCAGUUGGCGAACGACACAUAGCCGCCGCGCUCGAACACGAUGAUCUCGGCGGUUUCGUCGAGUCGUCGGGCUCGCGCUGCGACCGAGGCUCCUCCCGCGACUCCAC
rnacentral:antisense_RNA from 1 species